rnacentral:rRNA from 1 species
GAGUUUGAUCGUGGCUCAGAACGAACGCUGGCGGCAGGCUUAACACAUGCAAGUCGAACGCUCGUAGCAAUACGGGAGUGGCAGACGGGUGAGUAACGCGUGGGAAUCUACCUAGCUCUUCGGAAUAGCUCCGGGAAACUGGAAUUAAUACCGAGUACGCCCUACGGGGGAAAGAUUUAUCGGGGUUAGAUGAGCCCGCGUUGGAUUAGCUAGUUGGUGGGGUAAUGGCCUACCAAGGCAACGAUCCAUAGCUGGUCUGAGAGGAUGAUCAGCCACACUGGGACUGAGACACGGCCCAGACUCCUACGGGAGGCAGCAGUGGGGAAUAUUGGACAAUGGGCGAAAGCCUGAUCCAGCCAUGCCGCGUGAGUGAUGAAGGCCUUAGGGUUGUAAAGCUCUUUCGGUGGGGAAGAUAAUGACGGUACCCACAGAAGAAG